rnacentral:rRNA from 1 species
GUGGGGAAUAUUGGACAAUGGGCGAAAGCCUGAUCCAGCAAUGCCGCGUGAGUGAUGAAGGCCUUAGGGUUGUAAAGCUCUUUUACCAGGGAUGAUAAUGACAGUACCUGGAGAAUAAGCUCCGGCUAACUCCGUGCCAGCAGCCGCGGUAAUACGGAGGGAGCUAGCGUUGUUCGGAAUUACUGGGCGUAAAGCGCACGUAGGCGGUUACUCAAGUCAGAGGUGAAAGCCCGGGGCUCAACCCCGGAACUGCCUUUGAAACUAGGUAACUGGAAUCUUGGAGAGGUCAGUGGAAUUCCGAGUGUAGAGGUGAAAUUCGUAGAUAUUCGGAAGAACACCAGUGGCGAAGGCGACUGACUGGACAAGUAUUGACGCUGAGGUGCGAAAGCGUGGGGAGCAAACAGGAUUAGAAACCCCUGUAGUCC